AUGACACGACUCAGAAGCUGUACAGCAUCAAGCACAGGGCUGAGUUGUGGGCUCUGCAGAAGCCCUUUCUUUCUUCCUCUUAGCCCUUUAUCAGUUGUUUUGGAUUCAUCCUUCCAGGGCUCCCCAAAGGGUGGCCGGAAGUCAGAGGUGGAGAGAAUGGAAACCACGCCGCCUGGAGCUAAUUCCUGGGCGGGUCCUGAGUUCCGCGUUCCACUGUCCCUUCCGAUGGCAAAGCCUGUGAGAGGGGACGUUGGCCAGCCCAGCUCCUCCUGCGGUCUUCAUCCAGUGAUGGGAAGAUUGGGACUCAGAAGACCUGGCUUGAGCCCCGGGGGUCCAAUGCUGUUUCUCCCUUGCUGUGUGACCUCAGGCAAGUCACUUGCCUUCUCUGAGCUUCCCUUUGCUCAUCUGCACCCUACAUCUGCCGCAGUGCCCCAGCCCACAGUGUCUUCUGUGUCCUCCCCUGGCUGGAAGACUGCAUUUCCUAGCAAACCCUAAAAAGUAUUAUCAUGAAGCUUUGUUAUUAAGAUGUGAGCAGGAAAAAGCAUUCCUAGUCACUGAAGAAGACAUUAGUAAAAGUAAACCAGGAAGCAGGAAUCUAGAAAGUGGGGGCUAGCGGGGGAAAUGAACAGAAAAGUCCAAAUCCACCUCCCGGAAACCUUUCCCUCUUUCAAUUUGGAGGAAAAAGGGGUGGGGGGGCGGAGACAGCUAUUCACUUAGCAAAUACCACUAAAGAUCAAUAUGGGACCAAAAUAGAAUCUCACGUAGGAAACGUCUUGCUUCACAGCACUGGGGAAAAGACAUUAACAUGGAGAAGCCAUUUAAUGCAGAAAAAAUAUUUGUAUGUAAAAGGAAAUAUUUUAGGUAGGAGUUGAAUACCAAAUGAUUUUGGCUCUCUGUGGGGAGUAAUGAGGCGUAGCAGCACACAAUUCUAUAUGCAUGUGAUAUUAUCUUCGCAUGCCUCGGAAAGCUUUUAAAUCACAGAAAUGCAGUUAGGGUCCAUUGUACAAAAUAAACAUCCCACUUGGUGUCUUGCCUGCCCUAAGUUCCUUGAUCUAGAGCAGCACUGCCAGAUUUUUACAGCCUCGUAAAUUAAUGCGGUGCUGAUUUGAUUGAGCUAAAUUAAUAAGACUUGUGCUUUGUUGCAAAAUAACUAUUACAGUAUGUUGCAGGGAUGCGCUGCCGAUAAGGAAAUUGCUGCCUUUAACAACCCCACUGAAGUUUCAUGGAGGAUUUCAAAACCGAUUUUAAUUAAAACAAAAGCCGAUGUGUGGCAAUAAUGUGGGUGUUAAGGAGAGAAAAUGCAAAAUGUCUUUUUAAAUCCAUUUUAAUAUGUCUUAAGGACUGGAUGAUGGAUGUGGUGAGAGGCAGCAGCUGACAUGGAGCUGGGCAGCUGCCUGGGCACCUCGGGCCACCGCAGGGCCUCUGUCGCUUCUCAGCUUCCGGGCCAGGGCUGAGCUGGGACAGCAAGGAGAGGGCCCCUGAGCAGGGGCUCAGUCCUGUUGAUGGCAGAACCUGAGCCUGGUGCUCUGAACGCUUGAGCCAGGGCAGAAGCCACAGGGCUACAGAGGCUAGAGGCUCAGCCUCCAAAGACUUGGGUGCCUGUGACUCUCUACCCACCAACAACCAGCUCCCUGGCUGGUGCCAGCCCUUCAG
rnacentral:lncRNA from 1 species